rnacentral:rRNA from 1 species
GUCUCUAGCCAUGAUACCCUGAACAAAUCUGAUCCCGUCUGAUCUCGGAAGCUAAGCAGGGUCGGGCCUGGUUAGCACUUGGAUGGAAGACCACCUAGGAAGACCAGGUGCUGUAGGCA